rnacentral:rRNA from 1 species
AUUGAACGCUGGCGGCAGGCCUAACACAUGCAAGUCGAACGAGUGGCGGACGGGUGAGUAAUGUCUGGGAAACUGCCCGAUGGAGGGGGAUAACUACUGGAAACGGUAGCUAAUACCGCAUACCAUCGGAUGUGCCCAGAUGGGAUUAGCUAGUAGGUGGGGUAAAGGCUCACCUAGGCGACGAUCCCUAGCUGGUCUGAGAGGAUGACCAUCCACACGGGAACUGAGCCACGGUCCAGACUCCUACGGGAGGCAGCAUGGGGGAAUAUUGCACAAUGGACGCAAGCCUGAUGCAGCAAUGCCGCGUGUAUGAAGAAGGCCUUCGGGUUGUAAAGUACUUUCAGCGGGGAGGCGUUACCCGCAGAGAAAGCACCGGCUAACUCCGUGCCAGCAGCCGCGGUAAUUC